AGGGGACACUGUCGCACCGCUGAGGGCUCAGGAUCCACCGGCAGAGUCGAACUGCAAGAACUGAGCUUGUCCAACAUCCUCCGGGAUUUUAUUUUAUUUUUCUAUCUUCCUUCCCUUCUAUAAAUGAUCCUGGAAUUUUACCUGCCCUCAUGAAAUGAGCCGCCCUCAGCAGCUUCUUCCAUCCUGCCGUCCUACGCCAGAGAAGAAAAGACCCAGCACCAGGAAAUAAAGAGUGCCCAAAUCUUCACCCCUGGUCUUUUAUCAUCUCACUGUCUCUGCUGCUCCCAGGAACUCUGGAUGCUGCCUCACCACUGCUGUUGCUGUCAUGGUUAAUCUGCUGUAUCUUCUUCAUGUUACCAGCUCAGCCUACACAUGAUAAAGGUCAGAUCCAAUUUCUUCCUGUGACAACCAUCUUACAAAUGUCUCCCAAUGGAUCUCCUCAUAGUCACAUCUUUGAGUUCCGUCUGCAGGAAAUGUUUGCAUCCCUACAAAAGGUGAAAAUAAUGGCUCAACAGGCAUGGCGGUUUGAAUGAGAAAUGCCUUACAUAGCCUCACAUAUGUGACUGCUUGGUCCCAGGCUGGUGACACUGUUUGGGGAAGCUAUGUAAUCUUUAGGAAGUGAUGCCUUAAUGGAGGAAGUACACCAGUGAGGGCAGGCUUUGAGAGUUCAUUGCCUGACCCCACUUCCAGUUUGCUGUCUCUGCUUUGUGUUUGUGUCUGAAGACGCAAUUUCUCAGCAGCCUGCUCCGGUGGCCUGCUGCCAUGACACCCCACCACUUAUGGACUCUCUCUCUGGGACUGUAAGCCCAAAUAAACUAUUCCAUAAAUCAAUUUUGGUCAGUUUAUCAGAGCAACAGGAAUGUACUUAAUACCAUGGGUAAAGGCACUUGCUGCCAAGUCUGAACACCUGAGUUGGAUCCCCAGGACCCAAUAGGAGAAGGAGAGAAGCAUUCCUGUGAGUGUUCUGACUUCCAGACUCAUACUGAGGCACAAGCAGUCCC
rnacentral:lncRNA from 1 species